UAACAUAUUUGACAGUUUUGACACUAUUUGACAGCCACUAAAGAAAAAAGAAAACAAAAUUAUUUGUUUCUAAACUAACAUAUUUGCAAUAUCCAGAGCGAAAAGUUUAUAAAUACUGAAAGGUUUAUGUACAAAUUAAUUCAGUGAUAAAGAAUGGCGGAAGCUGUAGAUAAUGUAGUCACUGUCCCACAAUGUAAGGAAAAAGGUGAUAAUAUGGAAUGUGCAGUCUGUCUACAAAAGUGUAUUCAUCCAGCUCAACUGCCCUGUGGACAUAUUUUCUGUUUUCUAUGUGUCAAAGGUUUUGCAAAUCAAAAUAAAAGAUGUGCUAUGUGUAGGCAGGAAAUACCAAGAGAUUUUAUAGAACAACCAAACCUUCUGGAACCAGUUUGUACAGAUAAAACAGAAGUCUGUGAUGACAGUUUUCAAUGGUUUUAUGAAGGAAGAAAUGGUUGGUGGCAAUAUGAUGAACGUACUAGUAAAGAUUUAGAAGCUUCAUAUACGAAUAACGAAAAAACUUGUGAACUGCUCAUCGCUGGAUUCUUGUAUAUAAUAGAUUUAGAAAAUAUGUUGCAAAUAAGAAGAAAUGAUCCUUCGAGAAGACGGAGAAUUAAAAGAGAUUUUGCUACGGUUGCCAAAAAAGGAGUUGCUGGUCUCCACAGCACUAAGAACGUUACAAAUUCCAUUGAAAAUCACCCAGCGCCUAGAAGUGAAUCUCGAGAAUUCGCUACUAAUGAAACAGAUGUUAACUCUGAAGAAUCCGCGGAAGAAACCGAAAGUGCCGAGACUGAGAGUGACACGGACCUAGAAAGCGCCGUGCAGAGAUUGAGGCAGCUAGAUAUUAAUAAUGAUGUAUGAUCAAUUUUCGGUGCAGUUACCAGUGUGGCUCUAAGGGUAUUUAUCCAAAUUGUAAAAUGCUCAAAGUCUACUGUAGGAUGUAGGUACUAAAACUAUGAAAGGACUGUUUUUUAUUUCACAUUCUACCAAUUUAUAUUUAAUAUACCGGAUAGACCAGAAGUCAAUUAACCGUUUUGUAUAUUAAUAAAAGCAAAAAUAACUAAAGUAGAAAAA
rnacentral:misc_RNA from 1 species